rnacentral:rRNA from 1 species
GGGGUUAUUUAUUAAAGGUGUGUUCCUUUGGUUGCCUUAGAGCUCGUCUUGGACGCUUAAAGGGGGCAGAGGUUAGUAGAGGGGGGAGAGCGGGUAAGAAGAGGCUUAGGCGGAGGAGGGGUAGGUUAGACGGCAAGGUGGUUUGGUUAGGAGCGGCGUCAAGCAGCAGCGGCUGCCGCCGCCGCGCGUCGGUCCGCUGCUGACGGCCACGGCGCCGCCCGCACCUAUCCAAGGAGGGAGGAGGAGGGGCAGAAGAAGAGAGCCCAAACAGAAGAAGUCGCGCGUCACGACUAGAGUCAACUUCGGAGUCCGCGCCGCGUCGAACAGAAGGGCUUUUUUACCGCCGCCCUUCCGACAAAGGUACUGAGGGAGCGAACCGCCCUGAUCCUCCCCAACCCACCUAACCUGCACUAGCCCUAACGCUCCGGUAUAGUCAAGAAUACCUAGUCGACCGAGACGAGCGCUGCCUCAAGCCUCUAAGCAGGCUGAAGCUCCAGCUGCCGUAGUUGCUCUUGCUACAGUCGCUGCUCCUCUAACUCGGCCUCCUCGACCGGGCCGCUUACACCUUCCUGUCCCAGUCCGAGUCCUCCUAGUUCCUCUCCGUCGUCUCCGAUCGGAACGUCGUCCGACUUGACCUCGACCUCUUCAGGUUCGGGUUCGUCUAUAGGCUGGUCCGGUACGCGUUCUUCUACCGGUCCCGCGUGCUGCCCUAGGAGUUCAUGUACGAGUUCGACUACCUCCACACGUUACGGGCACCCAAACAGAUACCCUAGUAGGGACUCUUUCCCUUCGGACACUCACCACGCAGCCUAUUAUAAUCUCGAACCACCUUCCUCUUCCAAUUCAAACUAUUCUUACCAGGCCGUCGCUAACGUUUCAUGCUCCGGCUCGUGAACCACCUACGACUACGAGUCUCAUCGCAACAGUUCUUGCUCGUGUCGAACUACCUAGAGGUUCUGCGGUGAGACCCGAGUGACGAAAGUAGUAACUACGUCGUGACAUUAGGUGGCGUCGCGUUCAUGGGGGACCUCUUCCCGUGAGGCGGGGGUACCACCGGACGCCCCUUACUUCUCACCACCCGACGGAACCCGGAAGGUUCCCCUGUCUAACGAGGAAUGUUUUUUGGAGUACUGGAAUUCUUCCAAACCUUCCAGCCCCACGAAUGUACACAAUAAUUCGUGUACAGGGGAUUGAAACUAUUCUAGUCUUUGGUACAAGCGUUUAGGUUUUAGAACGUCCUAUUUUACUGACGUUUCCUCUCGGACUAAACCAACCCUCAGGAUGUCUCUCUCCUUUCUGAACACGUGCCAUAACUGUUACCGCAGAGUCUCUAAUGAGUGGCGUCACGAGGUCUUCUGUCUUUACCUUGAUCCUUGCGUGUGUCGUCGUCAUUACUCAUACUACAACUACCAAAACUCCUCCGAGGAGAAAGUUAUAGUAGAUUUCUACUACUCGUUCCAGAAAGAGGUCGACGUGUUAGGUCGCUCCUCGUACAGAGGUCUUCUCUGUCUCUUUCCCGCUUGUGAUUUGUAGAAAUAGUCCGACAACAAGAAUUCCUUCCUUGUUUUUUUGUUGGUGGUUUCUCUUUUUCUCGUGCAGUGUCAAGGCAACGACAACUCGUCCUCCAUGUUUCCUGACUACUACGUGGUCUUUUAGGUCCUUUAGACUAAGGGCUAUACUUGGCUGACCUGGUUCAUCUCUAAGGUCCGUACCGAUUGGUGGUCUAAUGUUCGAAGUUAGUCUACCGGCAAUGUUCACUUCGAAAUGUUGUGUCUCCUUUACGAGUUCCCGUACAAAUAGAAGGACCCAGACCCCAAUUACCGAAACUAUUACGGGUUGGACACCUACGAUGAGGACAUUCGUAUAUAGUCGGACAUGAAAUACCUUCAUCACUAUUACGGUCCAGUUUCAGACCUUCGGGGAAAGGUGACGUACGGUUAAGACCAAAAUUAUCAAAAGGGUCAUUGAUAGUCUGAAAUGGAGGCUUUGUUAGUCACGGUAAUGGAUACUACCUAGUAGUACACCAAGGGUACCCAUAGUCCCGUGGUCGACUGUUGUCAGGAAUACCACUAGUACACUAACCACCACCUUCAAGUUGAAGACAGGGACCUCUAUACGUUGUGGAGCAUCUAAAAGGUAAGAUGCCACUCGUUCUAUUCAAACAACCGUCAAGAAAACUCCCCAAUGGAAACCUGAUAUAGUCAUACUCGUCGGGCUAGGGUCUAUAACUACUAAACGACGACGUACUACUACUAAAUUACCUUAUGGACCCUUGUAUUGUAUCCAAUCCUUCCCGAGAAUACGAAAGACAAACCAGUAGGUAAAACACAGUGGUCCUAAUGGUCUAAUUGAACUCAUACCUUCUGAUUUGAAGAGUAAGACUACGACAACUAUGGUAGACAUCGUACGAGUUACUAUGAACUGAAUGUAAGAAAACUUUUUAUAACAGUUCCUACUGGCCUAACAUUUGGCCUUUCCACAUGUACGGAUGUCCCAAAUUCAAACCUCAUUAAUUAAAAGGGCCCCUUCUAUAUAUCACUUCCUAUCAAGAAACAUUAAAGCUUAGAAACUUUAUACUUACGGUACGAGAGGACGUACAAGAGUGGGGGAAGGGAAAACGAAAGAUGUCUUUGUAACUCAUAAGUUGUAACAUCUAUGUUAGUUCUUAUUUUAUAAGUAGCCGACU